UUGUUAUGUCUGCCAGAUGGUCAGUAUUCUGACAGUGUGGGACAAAGGGAAAACGGCAGCCUGGGCAACCCCGCCUCUAUAAGAACUAAAAAAUCAGCCAGGCAUGGCGGUGCAUGCCCCUGUAGUCCCAGCUACUCAGGAGGCUGAGGCAGGAGGCUCUCUUGAGCCCGGGAGGUCAAGGCUGCAGUGAGCCAUGAUCAUGCCACUGCACUCAGCCUGGGCAACAGAGUGAGACCCUGUCUCAAGAAAGAAAAACGAGAAAGGGAGAGUCCCUCCACUGUAAGGAGAUCGGGUUCAUUGCAUUUUGGGGUGUUGGAGAAAAAUACUGAGUCAGCACCUGUGUGGGAUUGGUGGGAGCAGAUUUGGUGUUUUCCACCCCUUCAGAGGAUUCUGAGGUAACUCAGUUCUGUUGGCCUUGGCCUUGUAUGGGGAGGAUUUCCCUCCAGCCUUUUAUGGGGAGGAUUUCCCUUGUAUGGGGAGGAUUUUCCCUCCAGCUUGUGGGAAAGGAAUCAAGGACCAGAGACAGGCAGGGGAGAAUAUCACUGAGGGAUUUACGGCAGCAGCCUCUGCACGGCUUCCCCACGACCUCCCCAGCUGCUUGCUGGACGCUGCUGGAGAAACAGCACAUCCCGAGAUCAUCAUGGCCCCAGCAUCCUCUUGAACUUAGUAACAGUUGGCCCGACAGAUGAAGCGGAUAUCAUCCCUGUCUUAGAAGUUCUCUAGCCCCUUUCUUAGAGAUAAGCUGCUAUUUCGUUCCUAAAAGAAGUCAUGGCUGUUCAGGUGAGAAGAACGGUUUAGUCAGCAUCUAUGCAACACUGUAGAGACGCUUGGUGAGAGGUGUUGGGAUGCAGGAGAGUGGCAGACCGCAGGGCCCGAGGUAAGGUUUCUUGUCCAUCUCUGGAAUUUUGGCUUUUUGCACCCGUAAAGUCACGUCCCCUUUUUUUCUGGUGCUUUGGUGGUGAUGUAGGGAGAGGUGAGGAUGAGAAGAGGGGCCAUGUCCUAUGGAUUCCCAGAUCCAGACUCCUCUUCCCUGGGAAAGCUGGAUUGGAGCUGGCCCCUCCUUCUGUGCCUUCAGGGGCUGUGGAGGAGGAGGCCCCUGCAGGGAGCUGCCUGGGGCGAGCGCUGGGGCUUUUCCUGCAGUGCAUUAGCAGCAUGUCAUAAUGGAAAGUGGCUGGAUUUCUUUCCAGUUGUAAUCAAUGGUUAAGAUUUAACCUAGCAACAUUGUAGGGGUACACAGCCAAAUGAUUCAGGAAAAAAGAUGCAGGUUGAGUCUGGAGGAAUCCCUGUGCCAGCUUCCUCAUGCUCCCUCCCUCUCUCAGAAAUCACGUGGAACCCAUUCUCCCCUCAGCAGUGAAAAUGCAUUCAGCCUAUGUGCAGUGUUUCUGCCCAGGGAAGCCCAGUAGGGGCUCCAUGCCCGGGGUGUUUACUGGGAUCUGGUUAUGUAGACACCACCUGCCUAGCACGCACCAAAAUUCCAGACUUUCAGGAAAAUAGGUGCCUGUACCACAUUAUUUGCACGGAGAGACUGUGUCCAGUGAACAGUUCUGAUCAGUAAACUGUUGACUGGGAACAUCCCGAGAGCCAAGUUCCCAGAUGCCAGCCAAGGGCCAUCUGACCUGUUUUGAAUCUCAAUUUCCUGAUACAGAAAACAAAGGAUUGUCAGCUGACCUCUGUCCUGUGUGCCCAGUGGCCCCAGGUGACGUGUCUUCAAGAAGAGGCUGAGCUGCGGUGCUUGUAAGGUCUCAGCCUUAGAUCCAAGGACAGUCCAAGGAAGUCCUAAGACCAUGGAGUUGGUGAUCUGGGAUCUGGGUUUGCUGAUAUUUCUCACCAUGAAUCUCUUGGUGGUGUUUGUGGGCAUGAGAGGGGCAGAGAAUAGAGAGUGAGGCUACCACAUGAAGCGUCACCAGAGCUGCUCCCUGCUGCCUGCUCAGAGCACCCCGGAUCCACUGUUCAAUCUGCACAAGAUUCGGGGUCCAGACAUGGGAGACUUCAGCUGCCUCAGAGGACCGUGGACAGGGAAGGCCAGCCUCGCAUCCCUCUGUCCAUGCCUGGAAUGACUUUAAUAACCAAGAGUUUUAUUCUUGAAUUUGUAGCUGUCGUUCACUUUUUACCCACCCAUUCAAUAAACCUUACAGAAUUGC
rnacentral:sRNA from 1 species